rnacentral:rRNA from 1 species
CUGGUAAAACUCGUGCCAGCAACCGCGGUCAUACGAAUAGCCCAAGUGGACAGCCGACGGCGUAAAGCGUGGUUAGGGAAGCCCCACCAACUAAAGAAGAACCGCCUCCCGGCAGUUAUACACACAUGACCGCGUGAAACCCCACCACGAAAGUGUCUUUACUCUUUCCUGAACCCACGAAAACUGGCGAAACAAACUG